CGUGAAUUUAGGGCUUUUACUGAUUGAUUAGGCAACAGGCUUGAAGGAUGUAAGUUUCUUGAAAUUCUCCCAUGGCUUCUCCCAAACUAUCGCCUCAUAUUUGCUCAUCGAUUCGCCUCUCUUGGCAUCGAUGAGGAGGCGGUAAUUGGUUCCAGCAACCACCUGAGUUUCGCCGCUCACGACGCUUUUGAACUCGAUUGCUACGCCUUUGGAUUGCUUGUUGUACUCGGCGACCGCGAACUUUCCGAUCUCUUCAACGUGGGGAUCCUUCAGGUCUGGGAUCUUCGACCAGCCGCCGAGCAUGGAGCCCUUGCGAGCGGCGGCGAUGAGAGGGAGGAGGAGGAGGAGGAGGAGGAGGAGGGGAGAAGCGGAGCGGGAAAUCAUGAUUAUUAAAAACUGUUGGAAGGAAUGGGAAA
rnacentral:lncRNA from 1 species